rnacentral:rRNA from 1 species
ACGAACGCUGGCGGCGUGCUUAACACAUGCAAGUCUACGAGAAAGUUUCUUUCGGGAAGCAAGUAAAGUGGCGCACGGGUGAGUGACACGUAAGUAAUCUACCUUUGGAUUUGGAAUAACCCCGAGAAAUCGGGGCUAAUACCAAAUGAUGCAGCGGCACCGCAUGGUGAUGUUGUUAAAGGUUUAUAUAGCGUCUAGAGAUGAGCUUGCGACUGAUUAGCUUGUUGGUAAGGUAACAGCUUACCAAGGCAACGAUCAGUAGCUGGUCUGAGAGGAUGAUCAGCCACACUGGAACUGAGACACGGUCCAGACUCCUACGGGAGGCAGCAGUGAGGAAUAUUGGGCAAUGCCCGAAAGGGUGACCCAGCAACGCCGCGUGGAGGAUGAAUGUCGUAAGAUUGUAAACUCCUGUUAGAGGGGAAGAACAAUCCCGAUCGACUCGGGACCUGACUGUACCCUCAGAGAAAGCUCCGGCUAACUACGUG